rnacentral:lncRNA from 1 species
GAUUUAGCGUGAGCUGAUCUCACACACUUUCUUCAUCUCUCCCUCUCAGAGUACACAGAUGAUGACAGUUCAAUCCCCAAAGGCUCCUCCGUCAUCGUCAGGAGAAUCCCAAUCAUUGGAGGAAAAUCCAGCAGCAGCAAGACCCGCAACGUUGAGCGAUCAGAUGUCCAGCACCACGCCUUCGGAGCCUACAAAGCAUAGGAGAAGUGUCUGCCACUCUUCUUAGUACUUUGAGUCUGUUGGAUUACACAAACCUUUUCUUUUGUGUUUUUCUGCC